GCUGACUAAAAUUGUCAGCGCUGACAGUUUAGUCAGCGCUGACAAAAAUUCGUUUCAUCAAACUCUCGGAGCUUCUCUGACUAUUGUCAGUGAAUUUUUAUUUUACAAAUCGUCUUGAACGAGGUUCGCUGACUAAUUAGGCCACGCCCACUCCCAAAGUUGUGAAGAAGAUGUAAAAUUGGUUGAUGUUUUCGCCGCAACGAUUCGAAGUGAAACGAAGAAAUAAGUAGAAGCGAAGGUCCCCGAAGAGGUGAAUGAGGAUUUUACCACUAUGGACAUUUUAACAAUAUGCAGAAGGAGACGGGUCUGGAACUAGAAAGCUAGGCUCUGACUGGUCUACUACAGCAAGGAAUGUGCCAGCGGCCAAUCUGAUAAACAUGUGGCAGAAGAUUUGGCAGUGGGUGAAGAAAUACUGAGAUUGAAAUGCAACCACAGGUGGAGGCUUCACCCAAACUUUUCAGACAGACAUGAGAUGCAAAGUUACCAAAGUAUAAAUGGUUGAAGGUUUAGGAGAGCAAGACAAGAAGGCAUGAAAUGUGAUGUCACUUGUAAGUUACUUCAAUAAUCAUGAACAGCAGCAGGAGCAACAACAGCAUCAGCAGCCGAAACCACAACUGCAGUAAGAGAUGCAACAACCACACCCACAACAACAAGAGCAGCAGCAAAAACAACAGAAAUUCCAGCAACCACGAUGACAACAGCAGCAGCAACACCAACAACACUAAUGAAUAUUGAAAAACUUGUACAAAAGUCAAUGAGGUCACAGACAUUUUCAGACAUUAUUGAUUAAAAAAUGCACAAUGAUUUAUUCGGGUUGAAGAAAAGAACAUAAAUGUUUUUAAAAAUGUGUACAUUUGAAGGUGUUUCCUAUCAAAUUGUAUCAAUUAAUUUAUGAAAAUAUAGCUUUAAAGAUAAAAAUAUGAUGCUUGAAAUGUCUACUUUUUAUUUGUCAUUGACUGAAAAUAAAUACAUUUUCUUUGAAUUUUCUUAAUGAAAUGAAAAAUAAGCAAUUUAUUAAAAUGUUAUAUUCAAAAUCAACUGAAAUUGAUAAAUUUUAGCUGCUAAAGUCCAUAAAAGGCUGAUUAGUCGGUGAAAAUAAGUUUUGUCGGUAGGUGAAGGCCACCGACAAAAUUAGUCGGUGGUUUCCAAUAAUUUGUCGGAGAAAAUCACCGACAAAUUUUGAUGAAAUGGAAUUUAGUCGGUGAUGGCAAAAUUGUCGGUGAAACUGAAAUUAGUCGGUGAAAAUCACAUUUAGUCGGAGAAAACCACCGACUAAUUGUUUGAUGAAACGCCCCCC